ACAUCUUCAGAGUCAUAAAGUAGGAGGUUUUUUCAAGUCUAUGUUCUACCCAAGUAACCACAAGCACUAAAUCAAAACUCUAAAUUCACUCUAAAUAAACAUUCCCGAUGCUAUGACACUUUAAAUAGUCUUUCCAAAUGUUUCGAAACAUUUGUAGCUUGAAACAUUAUUACUUACCGUAUAAUGACAUAUAGAACAGCCAAUUAAAGUUUCGAAGCAUUUAGCACAACAAUGUUUCGAAGCAUUAGUGGUAAGCUUUAUAUAUCACUGUAGAGUAAGCUUUUAAUGUUACAUCACAUUUUGACAUUUCUUAAAAAGUUUCAAAACACUAACUUAACACUAGUGAGGGCAAUAAAAGUUUGGAAGUAUUUCGUGGUAUGUUUAUGUUUGCUGCAGGUAAAAUCGUUCGGCGCACGGUUCAGCGUCUAUAAAAAUAACAGCUCCUUAUCGUCGCAAGAUACAAUUUUCUAGUUACGAUGGCUUCCUGAAAAAACAAAACUAGAAAGGAGGAGUUUUCGCUCUACGCCAGCUUCAACGACACUUUCGUCCACGCCACGGAUCUUUCGGGCAAAGAAACAACCUCGCGCGUCACCGGCAACAUGAACGGCGGAAACCGCACCAAGACCCCGGGACCGGGUGCUCAGUCGACGCACCGUGCUCUGUCCUGUUCGUCAAAGAAUUUUGUGAUUUAGUGCUAUUAGUAUAAACAUAAAUAAAUGCUCUGUUUUAAUCUGGCAA